AGAAUCAACGCUGGCGACGUGCCUAACACAUGCAAGUCGAACGAGAAAGUGGAGCAAUCCAUGAGUAAAGUGGCGACCGGGUGAGUAACACGUGACUAACCUACCUUUUAGUGGAGAAUAACCUCGGGAAACCGAGGCUAAUACCGCAUAACAUCGCAAGAUCAAAGCAGCAAUGCGCUGGAAGAGGGGGUCGCGGCUGAUUAGCUAGUUGGCGGGUAACGGCCCACCAAGGCGAAGAUCGGUAUCCGGCCUGAGAGGGCGCACGGACACACUGGAACUGAAACACGGUCCAGACUCCUACGGGAGGCAGCAGUGGGGAAUUUUGCGCAAUGGGAAAAACCCUAACGCAGCAACGCCGCGUGGAGGAUGAAGCCCCUUGGGGCGUAAACUCCUUUCGACCAAGACGAUAAUGACGGUACUGGUGGAAGAAGCACCGGCUAACUCUGCGCCAGCAGCCGC
rnacentral:rRNA from 1 species